rnacentral:rRNA from 1 species
CAGGCUUAACACAUGCAAGUCGAGGGGCAGCAUGGUCUUAGCUUGCUAAGGCCGAUGGCGACCGGUGCACGGGUGAGUAACACGUAUCCAACCUGCCGUCUACUCUUGGACAGCCUUCUGAAAGGAAGAUUAAUACAAGAUGGCAUCAUGAGUCCGCAUGUUCACAUGAUUAAAGGUAUUCCGGUAGACGAUGGGGAUGCGUUCCAUUAGAUAGUAGGCGGGGUAACGGCCCACCUAGUCUUCGAUGGAUAGGGGUUCUGAGAGGAAGGUCCCCCACAUUGGAACUGAGACACGGUCCAAACUCCUACGGGAGGCAGCAGUGAGGAAUAUUGGUCAAUGGGCGAGAGCCUGAACCAGUCAAGUAGCGUGAAGGAUGACUGCCCUAUGGGUUGUAAACUUCUUUUAUAAAGGAAUAAAGUCGGGUAUGGAUACCCGUUUGCAUGUACUUUAUGAAUAAGGAUCGGCUAACUCCGUGCCAGCAGCCGCGGUAAUACGGAGGAUCCGAGCGUUAUCCGGAUUUAUUGGGUUUAAAGGGAGCGUAGAUGGAUGUUUAAGUCAGUUGUGAAAGUUUGCGGCUCAACCGUAAAAUUGCAGUUGAUACUGGAUAUCUUGAGUGCAGUUGAGGCAGGCGGAAUUCGUGGUGUAGCGGUGAAAUGCUUAGAUAUCACGAAGAACUCCGAUUGCGAAGGCAGCCUGCUAAGCUGCAACUGACAUUGAGGCUCGAAAGUGUGGGUAUCAAACAGGAUUAGAUACCCUGGUAGUCCACACGGUAAACGAUGAAUACUCGCUGUUUGCGAUAUACUGCAAGCGGCCAAGCGAAAGCGUUAAGUAUUCCACCUGGGGAGUACGCCGGCAACGGUGAAACUCAAAGGAAUUGACGGGGGCCCGCACAAGCGGAGGAACAUGUGGUUUAAUUCGAUGAUACGCGAGGAACCUUACCCGGGCUUAAAUUGCAGAUGAAUUACGGUGAAAGCCGUAAGCCGCAAGGCAUCUGUGAAGGUGCUGCAUGGUUGUCGUCAGCUCGUGCCGUGAGGUGUCGGCUUAAGUGCCAUAACGAGCGCAACCCUUGUUGUCAGUUACUAACAGGUUCCGCUGAGGACUCUGACAAGACUGCCAUCGUAAGAUGUGAGGAAGGUGGGGAUGACGUCAAAUCAGCACGGCCCUUACGUCCGGGGCUACACACGUGUUACAAUGGGGGGUACAGAGGGCCGCUACCACGCGAGUGGAUGCCAAUCCCCAAAACCUCUCUCAGUUCGGACUGGAGUCUGCAACCCGACUCCACGAAGCUGGAUUCGCUAGUAAUCGCGCAUCAGCCACGGCGCGGUGAAUACGUUCCCGGGCCUUGUACACACCGCCCGUCAAGCCAUGGGAGCCGGGGGUACCUGAAGUGCGUAACCGCGAGGAGCGCCCUAGGGUAAAACUGGUGACUGGGGCUAAGU